GGAAGUAAAGUCGUAACAAGGUUUCCGUAGGUGAACCUGCGGAAGGAUCAUUAUUGUAUAAUCGAGGUGCGAGGGCUGUCGCUGACCCGAAAGGUCGUGCACGCCCGAGUGCCCUCACACACAUCCAUCUCACCCCUAUGUGCACCACCGCGUGGGUCCCCCUUUGGCUUGUUCGGAGGGGGGCUUACGUUUUCACACAAACUUUGUAUGCAGUGUAGAAUGUAUUUUUUGUUUUUGCGAUCACGCAAUCAAUACAACUUUCAACAACGGAUCUCUUGGCUCUC
rnacentral:misc_RNA from 1 species